UCUCCGUUGGUGAACCAGCGGAGGGAUCAUUACUGGAUUCUAAAGCUCCUAAAACCUCUGUGAACUUACCGACUGUUUCUCCCGCCGGGCGCCCCCCGCGGCGUCCCCGCCGGCAUUAUCAGACUCUCUCCUCGAACCCUACGAUCCACCUGGGUGUUCUAAGCGACCUGAAAAAACUUUCAACAUCCGAUCACUUGGCUCCAGCAUCUAUGAAGAACGAAGCAGAUCGGAGGAGCGCACAUCAGAACUCCAGACACCUAUCGAGCAUUCGUAUGCCGU
rnacentral:misc_RNA from 1 species